CAUGACUAAUAUGGACCGGUGGUUGCUUGUUUCAUACUUUCAUAUAUUGAUGGUUUACAUAAAAAGAAGAUAUCAAUGAUAUCCAUAUAUCUAUUACUAACCAUAUAUGUGGAUGUGAUAUAUUCUUUUAUAUAUGCACUAAAUUUCUUUUUCCUCAAAAGAUGACUUAUUUUAGUUAUUUGAAUUCAAAGUUAAGGAAUGAGGAAGGAAAAUAGAAAAUAAGCAGACAAUCUACAUUUUUUUUU